rnacentral:rRNA from 1 species
UUAGGAAUAUUCGUCAAUGGAGGAAACUCUGAACGAGCAAUGCCGCGUGAAGGAUGACGGUCCUUUGGAUUGUAAACUUCUGUUGUUAGGAACGAACCGCCUAAGUAGGAAAUGACUUAGGUCUGACGGUACCUUUCAAGAAAGCUCCGGCUAACUACGUGCCAGCAGCCGCGGUAAUACGUAGGGAGCGAGCGUUAUCCGGAUUUAUUGGGUGUAAAGCGUGUGUAGACGGUUUCUUAAGUCUAUAGUCUAAGCCUGGAGCUUAACUCCAGUUCGCUAUGGAAACUGAGAGACUUGAGUAUG